rnacentral:rRNA from 1 species
UUUCGCAAUGCCCGAAAGGGUGACCGAGCGACGCCGCGUGCGGGAAGAAGGCCUUCGGGUUGUAAAGCCCUGUCACACGGGACGAAUGCCUUCUCGGCGAACAGCCGAAAAGGAGAGACGGUACCGUGAGAGGAAGCUCCGGCUAACUCUGUGCCAGCAGCCGCGGUAAGACAGAGGGAGCGAGCGUUGUUCGGAUUUACUGGGCGUAAAGGGCGCGUAGGCGGGAUGGCCCGUCCGAUGUGAAAGUGCUACCGCUCAACGGAGCAAAGGCAUCGGAAACCGCCAUUCUGGAGACCGGGAGAGGUGAGUGGAAUUGCUGGUGUAGCGGUGGAAUGUACAGAUAUCAGCAAGAACACCGGUGGCGAAGGCGGCUCACUGGCCCGGUUCUGACGCUGAGUGCGCGAAAGCGUGGGGAGCAAACGGGAUUAGAUACCCCGGUAGUCCACGCCCUAAACGGUGGGCACUAAGUAGAGGGGUUUUAAUCUC